UGAAAACUCAUUUUGCAUGCAG
rnacentral:miRNA from 1 species